GAUCAUGGCUCAGAUUGAACGCUGGCGGCAUGCCUUACACAUGCAAGUCGAACGGCAGCACGGGGCAACCUGGUGGCGAGUGGCGAACGGGUGAGUAAUGCAUCGGAACGUGCCAUUGAGUGGGGGGUAACUAGCGAAAGUUACGCUAAUACCGCAUAUUCUGUGAGCAGGAAAGCAGGGGAUCGCAAGACCUUGCGCUCUUUGAGCGGCCGAUGUCAGAUUAGCUAGUUGGUGAGGUAACGGCUUACCAAGGCGACGAUCUGUAGCGGGUCUGAGAGGAUGAUCCGCCACACUGGAACUGAGACACGGUCCAGACUCCUACGGGAGGCAGCAGUGGGGAAUUUUGGACAAUGGGGGCAACCCUGAUCCAGCCAUGCCGCGUGAGUGAAGAAGGCCUUCGGGUUGUAAAGCUCUUUCGGCCGGGAAGAAAUCGCAUGGGUUAAUACCCUGUGUGGAUGACGGUACCGGCAUAAGAAGCACCGGCUAACUACGUG
rnacentral:rRNA from 1 species